UUGGCCCAUUUAUAAGGGGAUCCAUUUUCACAAAGGUUUGCACUGUUGCGGAGAGAAUUCAUCUCUUCCCUUCAAUAGAUCCCAUCCACUUAAAAAGGGCAGCAAGGCAAUGAACUAACAGUUUCAACACAGUGUUUUGGAAAUUAACCAGGCAAUCAAAUCAUGUGCCUUCCUCAAGCCUCUUCUAAUCAUCCUACAAAGCGUCCCAGGAAGAAUAUACCAAGUAAAGGAAAAACUAGCAUCAUCUGAACAGUUUGGAUGUGAAGGUGUUCAGAGACGACUUCACUACUCCUAAGACAACCACAGCAGCCUGAAAGGAGAUGCUUUCCCUCAUCUCAGGAGAGAGCAUGCAAGUGCUGACUACAUUCCGGAGGUACCUAACUUCACAACCAAGUGAAGCUCACUUCAAUGUUUGACAAAUUCACUCCAUUGAUUCCAGAGGACACUGGUCUUUACUCCCAGUAAAUACAAGGGAGCAGGCUCUGAGGAAGUGGACUGGCACCAACAAAUCAGCACCAACAAAUCGGCUGCUUUGAAAUUACAGACCGUUUAACCCAGAAAACUUGAAAGACGUAAUCUUUUCUUCUACUGACCUUGCGGUUCCCCCACAUGAGCCUACCACCAUUGUAUCUGCAGCUACAGAUUUUGGCUGUCACUUCCUCCUAUAUUUUUAACAGAUGGGUUCAUUCGCUAGUAUGCCUUUUUUUCAUGCCUGCUUUUAAUUUUACUCUUUCCCCAUCCUCAAAGCACCAACUUUAUAUGAAAUGUUUUCCCCCUCAGACACGUCACCCUCCACAGCCCUGCGGAGGCCAAGGAGGCUGAGACCUCACUCUACCACCAUGAGGAGCGUGUCAGCUGCUCUGCACCAGGGAAGGAAGAGCCCUCUGUGAAAUACAAAAAAUCCUUCCCAGGGGACAGUUACAAGAACAAUCCAUUGAUUUGGUUUUAUAUUCACAAAAGUGUCAGCUGUUAUUUUUUAAGAUUUAAAUAUCUUUCCAAAUGAUUGACAAAUUAAAUGCACCUCGCUGAAUAGGAGGGCCACCCUAACAUUCAAAGUACAGGAUUUUACUUGCAGGUAGAGAAAAACAAAUAUCGAGGUUUAUAAAAUCUUCAUUAACUACGUACUUUCAGGAGAGCCAAAGAAGUAAAACUUGGGCAGCUAUUAGCAAUCUGACAAGACGCUGUUUAUUUAGGUCAGGUCUUCAGAGUGUCUGUUAGCCCUGUAAUGAUUUGUUAAUAUCUGUAAUUUUCCUUAAGGCUAAACAAAUGAGGAAGCCAUCUUGUUUUCCACCUCAUUGGACCUAGCAUGCUCCAGCAGAUUGCCAUGGCAACCAGAGCGAGUGUGCCCGAUGUGAAGGGAACGGUCUAGGCCUCAUUUCCUAAAAGCAUGUUCCUACUGAGGUUGACUCACCAAUUAAAAGACUUUUCUGUCCUCUGGGGUUUCAGGGAUGUAAAUAGAGAUGUGAAGCCUGGCUGAUCAGCUGCUUUACCUGAGCUAGCUACUCUUACCAAUUGCCUAAAUAUAGAACAAAUAUCCAGCAAAUAGGGAAAGAAGUAUUUCUGGAAUUUCAUCAAGGACUGUAUUAAUCCUAAAAAUAAAUAAACAAAUAAAUAAUUUAAAAAAACAAACAACAAAACAAAACAAAAAAAAUGGUUGUUUUGAAGAGUGCAUUGAGACAGUUCUUGUGAUUUUGUGAUUACUGAGUAAACAGCUUGAACAAGGGGGUGUUCUCCAAACCUUGGAAGAUGCUCAUAGUGCAUCUUUUACAACAUCAACAAUAACAUGUUUUGUCAUCAGCCCUCUGUCAGUGUGUCUGAGUCACACACAUUUGGUAUAAGUGAGGAUUAAUUAUAGAUCUAAUAAAAAAAAAAAAAAAAGAUGUGAGACUGUGGGAUGACUGUUCCAACAUAGCUUUUAGGCGUCAUUCAUUUUCUUAUGAUCAGCUGCUCACAAGUAGCUUUUAUUAAACAGAAGAAAAUUUUAUAAAGAGUGGAAAGCUUUACAGUACCAUCAAUUAAUGAAUUCUCUCAUCAUGAUAUCAGUUUGCUUAGAACAAAAUUGUGGCUGCCGCUGAUUCAAACAAAAAAAAAUUCUAUAAUAGUUUUUCCUAUUUUGCUAUAUUGAGACUGAUUUAGAAAAGAAGAUAGAAUAAAUUGAGAAAUAUGAUAGAACUGCAAAUAUUAACAAUAAAAUAACACUUUGGUCCAAGUGAAAUAAUUGAUUUAGUAGGUUGUCAUUGUCAAAAUGUAGAUCAAGUACUGAAAGAAAGAGUAACACUACACAUUGGACUCGGUAUAAGAUCUGACUUAACAUAUUUACCGUUGAUCAUGUAAUCAUCUUACUGGAAAACAUCCAUCACAAAACUCCAAAGGCUUUCAAACCCUUCAGAGAUGUGGCUAGAACAGCCAUCAGAGGCAGAACACUAAUGAAAAACAUCUCUAUAUAGUGCUAUCCUGUUUGGAUAAACACUGAACACAUAAUAGUUUUCAGUCAAGAGUUUCUGAACAGCAGUAAAACCAAAAUCACCUUUGUAGUAUCCUGUUCUCACUGAGCAAAGAAAAACCCAUCAUUAUGCAUAUUUAGUAUAUGCAGGGCAUGUCCUUCUGUGUGAGAUCAGUAUAAGACAUUGGGUGAAGUAGACAACAUACAGACUUACAUUUUCUACUGUACUCCAAAUGAGAGACACACAGGACAAAGGUAGAGCUGUCUACAGGACCAAGCCCUUAUCUAUAAAAGUCCCUGUUAAAUUUUUUUUCCAAACGUAUCUGCUGCCAGUUUCCUUUAGACUCUCAGAUGGUUUUGAGUCCUGUUUAAAUACCUAGAUACUUUACUGACUUGCUUCCACAUCACAGUAAGUAUACUCAGAACCCCAAUUCAGAAAAAUAAGUUCUUCUAAACUAACAAUGUUAACACCCACUCUAUUACCCUCCCUAGACCAUCAUUCAAAAUAUAAUUCUGUGCACUCAAUCGAAUAAAUGUAAUUCCCUGUUAUUGAAUCUAACUAGCUAAAUAUAUUUUGUUUGAGAGUUAUCUUGUAGAUAAACUCAGUAACCGCCUGCCUUGGACAAUCAACAGAAAAUUGUGGCUAUGGUUUUAGCUCACUAACUAAUCGGCAUUACCUCUAACAGUUUCCUAGACACAGCGCUGUCCAAUUUGACAGAGCUCGUUUGUUUUCAAUUCUUGAGGAAAAAAAGUGUUGAUAUAAAAAAAAUUCUUGAAAAGACAAAAUAAAAAUUCAAUUUGCAUGUACCUCUGCAUACUGGAACUUCUAAGACUUCUUGCCUUAAAGAAAAAUGCCAUAUUUUAAGAAUUAUUUUAAAAUACUGCAUUU